rnacentral:rRNA from 1 species
CUCCGGUUGAUCCUGCCGGACCCGACUGCUAUCAGAGUGGGACUAAGCCAUGCGAGUCAACAUAGCAAUAUGUGGCAUACGGCUCAGUAACACGUAGUCAACAUGCCCAGGGGACGUGGAUAACCUCGGGAAACUGAGGAUAAACCGCGAUAGGUCAUCACUUCUGGAAUGGGUAAUGACUUAAAUCUAUAUGGCCCCUGGAUUGGACUGCGGCCGAUCAGGCUGUUGGUGAGGUAAUGGCCCACCAAACCUGUAACCGGUACGGGCUCUGAGAGGAGGAGCCCGGAGAUGGGCACUGAGACAAGGGCCCAGGCCCUAUGGGGCGCAGCAGGCGCGAAACCUCUGCAAUAGGCGAAAGCUUGACAGGGUUACUCUGAGUGAUUUCCGUUAAGGAGAUCUUUUGGCACCUCUAAAAAUGGUGCAGAAUAAGGGGUGGGCAAGUCUGGUGUCAGCCGCCGCGGUAAUACCAGCACCCCGAGUGGUCGGGACGUUUAUUGGGCCUAAAGCAUCCGUAGCCGGUUCUACAAGUCUUCCGUUAAAUCCAGCUGCUCAACAGAUGGGCUGCGGGAGAUACUACAGGGCUAGGAGGCGGGAGAGGCAAGCGGUACUUUAUGGGUAGGGGUAAAAUCCGCUGAUCCAUAGAAGACCACCAGUGGCGAAGGCGGCUUGCCAGAACGCGCUCGACGGUGAGGGAUGAAAGCUGGGGGAGCAAACCGGAUUAGAUACCCGGGUAGUCCCAGCUGUAAACGAUGCAGACUCGGUGAUGAGUUGGCUUAUUGCUAACUCAGUGCCGCAGGGAAGCCGUUAAGUCUGCCGCCUGGGGAGUACGGUCGCAAGACUGAAACUUAAAGGAAUUGGCGGGGGAGCA